rnacentral:rRNA from 1 species
GACGAACGCUGGCGGCGUGCUUAACACAUGCAGGUCGAACGAUGAAGCUGGAGCUUGCUCCGGUGGAUUAGUGGCGAACGGGUGAGUAACACGUGAGCAAUCUGCCCUUGACUCUGGGAUAACUGCGGGAAACUGUAGCUAAUACCGGAUACGAGACUUGGAGGCAUCUCCAGGUCUGGAAAGAAUUUCGGUCAAGGAUGAGCUCACGGCCUAUCAGCUAGUUGGUGAGGUAAUGGCUCACCAAGGCGACGACGGGUAGCCGGCCUGAGAGGGGGACCGGCAACACUGGGACUGCGACACGGCCCAGACUCCUACGGGAGGCAGCAGUGAGGAAUAUUGCACAAUGGGCGAAAGCCUGAUGCAGCAACGCCGCGUGAGGGAUGAAGGCCUUCGGGUUGUAAACCUCUUUUAGCAGGGAAGAAGCGAAAGUGACGGUACCUGCAGAAAAAGCACCGGCUAACUACGUGCCAGCCGCCGCAGUAA